rnacentral:rRNA from 1 species
UACGUAGGGUGCGAGCGUUAAUCGGAAUUACUGGGCGUAAAGCGUGCGUAGGCGGUCCGCGAAGUCUGAUGUGAAAGCCCCGGGCUCAACCUGGGAACUGCAUUGGAAACUAACGGGCUCGAGUGUGGCAGAGGGGGGUGGAAUUCCACGUGUAGCAGUGAAAUGCGUAGAGAUGUGGAGGAACACCGAUGGCGAAGGCAGCCCCCUGGGCUAACACUGACGCUCAUGCACGAAAGCGUGGGGAGCAAACAGG